rnacentral:rRNA from 1 species
AUUGAACGCUGGCGGCAGGCCUAACACAUGCAAGUCGAACGGCAGCACAGAAGAGCUUGCUCUUUGGGUGGCGAGUGGCGGACGGGUGAGUAAUGUCUGGGAAACUGCCCGAUGGAGGGGGAUAACUACUGGAAACGGUAGCUAAUACCGCAUAACGUCGCGAGACCAAAGUGGGGGACCUUCGGGCCUCACACUAUCGGAUGUGCCCAGAUGGGAUUAGCUAGUAGGUGGGGUAAUGGCUAACCUAGGCGACGUACCCUAGCUGGUCUGAGAUGAUGACCAGCCAAACUGGAACUGAGACACGGUCCAGACUCCUACGGGGGGCAGCAGUGGGGAAUAUUGCACAAUGGGCGCAAGCCUGAUGCAGCCAUGCCGCAUGUAUGAAGAAGGCCUUCGGGUUGUAAAGUACUUUCAGCGGGGAGGAAGGCGGUGAAGUUAAUAGCUUCACCGAUUGACGUUACCCGCAGAAGAAGCACCGGCUAACUCCGUGCCAGCCGCCGCUGUAA